rnacentral:lncRNA from 1 species
GAAAAACAUCAAUUUAGCUAAUGGAUUGAAGAAUGUUAAUAUAAAUAAUGGGGUUAUACCUAAGAGGGUACAAAGUAGACAUAAUUCGAAUGAGGAGGUUGUGAAUGGACAUGAUAAGAAAGGGGCUCAUUCAAGCCCAAGUCACAAUAGCUACGAAGGCUCACCAAAUAAAAGUAAGUUGACAAUGGCAAGUGCGGGACAAGGCUCACCGCUUCGGUCUCAAUUGGCAUUGAAAUUGAAGCCCAAUACUCCUAAAAAAUC